rnacentral:rRNA from 1 species
AUUGAACGCUGGCGGCAGGCCUAACACAUGCAAGUCGAACGAGUGGCGGACGGGUGAGUAAUGUCUGGGAAACUGCCUGAUGGAUGGGGAUAACUACUGGAAACGGUAGCUAAUACCGCAUACCAUCAUCUUUUCCCUGAUGGGUUUGGCUUGUUUGUGGGGUAACGGCUCACCAAUGCGACGAUCCCUAGCUGGUCUGAGAGGAUGACCAUCCACACUGGAACUGAGACACGGACCAGACUCCUACGGGAGGCAGCAGUGGGGAAUAUUGCACAAUGGGCGAAAGCCUGAUGCAGCGAUGCCGCGUGUAUGAAGAAGGCCUUCGGGUUGUAAAGUACUUUCAGCGGGGAGGCGGUACCCGAAGAAGAAGAAACGGCUAACUCCGUGCCAGCAGCCGCGGUAAUUG